rnacentral:rRNA from 1 species
CAUGCUUCCAAGAAAAGCUUCUAAGCUUCAGGUAACCAGGAACCGUACCCCAAACCGACACAGGUGGUCGGGUAGAGAAUACCAAGGCGCUUGAGAGAACUCGGGUGAAGGAACUAGGCAAAAUGGCACCGUAACUUCGGGAGAAGGUGCGCCGGCUAGGGUGAAGGAUUUACUCCGUAAGCUCUGGCUGGUCGAAGAUACCAGGCCGCUGCGACUGUUUAUUAAAAACACAGCACUCUGCAAACACGAAAGUGGACGUAUAGGGUGUGACGCCUGCCCGGUGCCGGAAGGUUAAUUGAUGGGGUUAGCGCAAGCGAAGCUCUUGAUCGAAACCCCGGUAAACGGCGGCCGUAACUAUGACGGUCCUAAGGUAGCGAAAUUCCUUGUCGGGUAAGUUCCGACCCGCACGAAUGGCGUAACGAUGGCGGCGCUGUCUCCACCCGAGACUCAGUGAAAUUGAAAUCGCUGUGAAGAUGCAGUGUAUCCGCGGCUAGACGGAAAGACCCCGUGAACCUUUACUGUAGCUUUGCACUGGACUUUGAGCCUGCUUGUGUAGGAUAGGUGGGAGGCUUUGAAGCGUGGACGCCAGUUCGCGUGGAGCCAUCCUUGAAAUACCACCCUGGCAUGCUUGAGGUUCUAACUCUGGUCCGUAAUCCGGAUCGAGGACAGUGUAUGGUGGGCAGUUUGACUGGGGCGGUCUCCUCCUAAAGAGUAACGGAGGAGUACGAAGGUGCGCUCAGACCGGUCGGAAAUCGGUCGCAGAGUAUAAAGGCAAAAGCGCGCUUGACUGCGAGACAGACACGUCGAGCAGGUACGAAAGUAGGUCUUAGUGAUCCGGUGGUUCUGUAUGGAAGGGCCAUCGCUCAACGGAUAAAAGGUACUCCGGGGAUAACAGGCUGAUACCGCCCAAGAGUUCAUAUCGACGGCGGUGUUUGGCACCUCGAUGUCGGCUCAUCACAUCCUGGGGCUGAAGCCGGUCCCAAGGGUAUGGCUGUUCGCCAUUUAAAGUGGUACGCGAGCUGGGUUUAGAACGUCGUGAGACAGUUCGGUCCCUAUCUGCCGUGGACGUUUGAGAUUUGAGAGGGGCUGCUCCUAGUACGAGAGGACCGGAGUGGACGAACCUCUGGUGUUCCGGUUGUCACGCCAGUGGCAUUGCCGGGUAGCUAUGUUCGGAAAAGAUAACCGCUGAAAGCAUCUAAGCGGGAAACUUGCCUCAAGAUGAGAUCUCACUGGGAACUUGAUUCCCCUGAAGGGCCGUCGAAGACUACGACGUUGAUAGGCUGGGUGUGUAAGCGUUGUGAGGCGUUGAGCU